rnacentral:lncRNA from 1 species
ACUCUUGCUUUAUGUAUAUAAAGAGGCAUUUUUGCUGCUGCCACUAAGAAAGUUCGGAAUUUCCAGGUGAUUUAGGGAGGUUUGGGCCAACUCAUGAGACGCUGUUGGCCCUACAUGUUUCACAAGAUCCUUUGGACCUUCUUUUACAAAAGUCUACCAUAUAAGGCAGGCUUGUAUAGACACAUUUUCUACCUUCAACCCCAAUUUAAGGCUAGGGCAGCAAAUGG